AACCACUAACUAGUUAAAUUUUCUGCAGAAUUCAUGACAAAUAUAAGUUGCAAUUCUUCACUCACCAAAUUUUGACUAACAUUGUUAGUAUAAAUGUAUGUGUUGUUUAAGGAUAUGGAUAUCGGGCUUUUUUUAUAUAUGUUUAAUUAUAUACUUCCUUUUCCAGUCAACAACGGAAGUUAUUUAACAUGACUACGAAGGAUGUUAUGUAAAUUUGAAAAUUAUUACUUACAAAACGUAAAUAAGCACAAUAUUUUCUUUGGGUUCUAACUGAAGAUACAAGUAAUUUAUAGUUACCAUAUCAGUAUAAA